UGACGUGUUUGUGUGUGUGUGUGUGUGUGUGUGUGUGUGUGUUUUCAGUGUGGAGUAGAGAACAUCAGACGAGCAGAAUCUCUCAAUGGAAAUCCUCUGUUCUUCAGGGCGUUGGCUGAUCUGGUUCAGUCUCAUCUGAAGUCCAACGAGUCGUGUUCCCGUCAGCUGACCCUCCGCUGUCCGCUGUGUGUGAAUCCCACAUGUGGGCAGACCAAGGCCUUCUUCGCCAACCAGAAACCCUGACCUCUGACCUCUCAUCAGGACCAUUUAGGAGUGCAUUCGUUUAUGUGGUUUAAACCUGUAUGAUUGAGAUAUUGAGCUGAAAACACCAUUAAAGCAUCAUGUAGUUGAUGGAUAUAAUGCUGAAGUCAUACGUCAUGAAAUAAUAAUCAGAAAAAUUAAUGAAACUUUCAAACAUAAUAUAAAGAAUCUAAAAAAAAACAAGAAAAUGUGCGUGUGUUCUUUGUUGAUAUACAGUAUGAGAUGAUCUUGAAAUGCUUUGUUUUAUGUUCUGUAGUUUUAAAAUGUAUAAUGCAAUCAAGGAUGUUUGAGAGAUGAACAUAUUUGAUACUCUUCUAUUAAAUUAUGUCUGGAUAAUCAAGUAAACCCGCUUUAGUCCGUUUUCAAAAUGAAAAGAAAUAUUAAUAUAUAAAUUAUAUUGUGCAUAAAUAAAAUGACUCUAGUUAGAACAAUAGGAUUUUUUUUUGCAUUAUUUACAUGAAAAUUACAUGUCAUUUUCUGUUUAUUUAUUUAUUGUUAAUGAUGUGUCUCAACCUAAUAGAAAGACAGUAAAUACUACACUAUUGUGUAUGUGUGUAUAUUUAACUCGCAUUUAAAAAAUAAUUAUUAGAAUUAACAUUAUAUGUAUGAGUAUAUAGCCGUAUAUAUUUAUGAAACUUUUCAUUACAUUAAAUACAUUUUCAUUUGCAAAAUAAUGUCAAAAAUUGUUACUGGCCCUAAGAAUAAGUUUAAUUUCCUUUAUGCAAAAUAUAAUUGUGUGUGUGUGUGUGUGUGUGUAUGUGUGUGCGCGUGCGCUCUGGGGCCGCUGGAUCCUCCUGGUAAUUGAAAAGUGUAACGGCAGCAGCAGCUCUGUGACCUCUAAUUGAGAGAGAGCAUUGAUUUCUGCAGAGAGAGAGAGAGAGAGAGAGAAAUGGGGAUGAUGGAGCAGAAAGGAGAAAUGAACCAGUGAGUGAUUCUGUUGGGGAGAGACUGAUCAGAUGGGCGAUUGGAAAGGACAGAUGUGGUGAAAGACAGAGAGAGAGAGAGAGAGAGAGAGAGAGAGAGAGAGAUGAACGAGAAAUCACUUUUCUUCUCCAUGGACCUUUUUUAAACCCUAAAAUCUUGUGUUUGGCUCAUUCUACACCUCAUGUUCUGAGACAUGUCUUUAAUUUUAUUCAUUUAUUUAUUUUUUCAUGACAAAUUAUAUUAUCAUCAUCCACAUUUGAGCAAAAAUCAGUUGAAAAAUGUACUUCUUAUUUGAGAUGAUCCAAAGAAUCACCGUCAGUCACAUGAUAAUUGUUUAGUUUCAUGGCUUUUCUUUGUGUGAGUGUGUAAUAGGCUAAUCCUGGUUCUGAAACUGUUCUCCGUAUUUCUGUUGUUUCUGCUUCUCCGGUUUCUUUCAUCACGGAUCUUAGAUGAGAACUAAUAGUCUUGCUCUUUGUUGUCUCUACUCUCUCUAUCUGUAGUAAAAUGAUGACCAUCAUCUGGUCAAGAAGUGGUUA